rnacentral:lncRNA from 1 species
GUUCCGGUUCCGGAGAGAAAAGCAGCUUUCAGCCGGAUCCAGGCCGCGGAUGUCCCGCAGCGCCUCAGCCUGGUGGCCCUGUGGUCCGGAUAGGACGGGCUCCAGGCUCAGAGGAGGCAACUGACACACAGACUUGCAGCCUUUUUUCCAGCGACACCCACAUAGUAAGGGCUGAGUUCCCUGUGGCCCCUGACCUGCUCCAGUGUCCCCAGAGCGCCAUGGCUAUUAAUUCUCCAAGCCACGUGCUCUGUCCUGUCCGGUGCCCGGUGUGUGGGUGCGGAGGUAGCAAAAGAACCCAACCAGAGGUCAAAAUAGGAAGUGCUGUGUCAAGUUCCUUGAGGUAGACCAUAUUUACAAAGGAGACAGGCAACGAAACCACUGAGCUAAAUCCCCGGCCCCGUAUUUACAAAGGAGAAGAUGGAGACACAGGGCCGUGACUUUCCUGAGAUCGCACUGCAAGGGGACCUCGGAGCUCAGGCUCUUUCCUGCUCUGCUGUUAGUGCUAGCGCUUUCCAGGUAUGAAAUUCCAUGAUACAAGCAGAAUCCAAGGACCUCGACCUGGGUGGAAGCUCACAAGUUUAGCUAAUCUGUCUCCUCACCAUAUGAUGAAGAUAUUGUGAUCCCAUUUUGCAGAUAUGACAGCUGGGGUCCCAGAGAGGAUACGCAGUGUUGUGUGACUGCUGAGCUCUCGAAGGCAUUUGUAUGAACUCACGCUGACCAUGGGUGUUUUCCCUGUGCCUUCAGCUCCGGAGCUGUGUGGACAGGGCAUGUACCGCUGUGGCUCAAGCAGUGUGACCCAGAGGACGUGCCGGGUAAUCUGCAGAUAAACAUCUGUUACAUCAGAGAAGUUUGCGAGGGAGGAUGGAGCUAGAGAAAUCACUACUUCUGCCUUCCUAUUUUACAGAGGGAAGACUGAGGCCCAGUUGAAGAUCAACUUCUGGGUUUUUUGUUUGUUUGUUUUGGGUUUUUCUGAGAGGACAGGGUCUUGCUGUGUAGUUCAAACUGGCCUUGAACUCACUGUGCAGCCCAGGCUGGCCUCAAACUCACAGCAAUCCUCCUGCCUCAGCCUCCCGAGUGUAGUGUUGGACAUCUUUGAGCAAGGAUCCUUUAUGUUUGUCGCAGUACCUAUUAAGAACACAGGGUCCGGGGCCGGGGUUUUAGCUCAGUGAUUCCACCGCCUGCCCUGCAAGCACAAGGACCCAAGUUUGAUUCGUGGUACCAAAAAAAAAAAAAGAACACAGGGUCCAGGAAGAAGGGAGAAAGGAGGAAGGUGGUGAGAAAGGAGUAUUCACUAAGCAUCGGCAGCACCAGCAUUCAGUCAGGCUCUCCCUUCACCAUGGCAACAUGUGGAGCAGGCGGUUUCUCGUUCAGGAAGGAUGGACCUGAGGUCAGAUGGGAGAUCACGUGUCCAGAGGCACACAGCGUGGGUAAAGCAGAGUCCGAAACAAAGCGAGGCGAGGAAGCUGAGGCUAUGUUCCUCUUGCACCACAGUGAGUCUCGGGUGUGCCAAGGAGAAGCACGGGGCAGAAAGCUGGACCAGUCCACCACGGCGUUGCUUCCAACACCAGUAACGAUGCUGUGUGACCCCAAGAAAGUCCCUCAGUGUCUCCAAGCCUCAGGUUCCCCUUUGAUCCUGAAGGGUGGAUGCUGAGUGCUAAGGUCCCCUCCGCUUGGCAGGGCUGGGCUGCAGCUGACUCUCCCUGCGUUCCUUGGCCACCGAGUGAGCCACUUAAAGAUGACUGAUGCUGCCAGGAGGAUCGGUGUCUCUUUAAUGAGAUCUGUCAAGGUUCAAAAGGCGUUUCUCCUAUCUGCUGUGUUUGGGCUUUACUGAAUCUCUACUGCACUCUGAAGAUUUGAAGGCUUAUUGAUAACUGUGUGAUUUCCACAAUUCUGUACUCAAAUGUUGGCAUCAAGUAUUGUAG